AUGUGUUGGGUCAGCUGGGUCACCGUUGACUCCCCCAGGCCAACCAUUAUAAGAAAGAGAAUUACAAGUCUGUCUUACCAGGGGAGAAUGGAUGUCAGGAACCUGAUUUCUAUAUUCCCCUUGAUGCUUAAAAAACUCUGCUCUCAUGCCGGACAUUCAGAGGACAUUGAAGAAAAUUUCAAAGGGAGUAAAAUGUUUAUUUGUUUUAAGCCUUGCUCAGUAAUCCACUUAUGCUAUUUACAUUAGUUAAAGAACCUUUCCAUGUAAACACCAUUAAUUAUGUAGUAUAAGAGCCAAAUAAAAAUGCUAAAAAAUAAAAGUAAUUGUAGAAUAAAUUAGUAUAGCUUGAGUGCACAUAUAUUAUACAGAGACUGCAGUCUUUUACAUUUUAUCAAGGGAGGUGGAUUUGUGAUUUUCUAUUGUCUGAGCUACUAGGAUGGAACCAAGAGAAAUGACAUUUUUACAGAUGGAUACCAAAGCUGUUAAAGUUUAAACCCGUAUCAGCAAUGAAAUUAUGGUUUUCACAGGAGCCUGGACUCAUCCUGCCUCUCUAUAUCUGUCUUGAAAAGACUAUGGGAGGAGAUGUGGAUUGGGUGUCCUAUGGAUUUCCCCAGAAGGUUUGCUGGAGCAGAACCUGACUGUCUACCUCUAAUUGGUACACUCCAGGACUUCUUGAAUGUGGUAACAGAAGACGGCCUAUGCCUGGGCAAAGGGCAGUGGAUGGUGUGCAGUCUGCCAGGCUCAAAAAAGGGCAGAGACUGACGCUGCUGAGGAAAUCUGGUCUGGGCACCAUGUAGUAACGAUGACAGGAUACAUGUGUUUACCUUUUGUAGUAUUUUGGAAGUUUUUGUGUAUGUGAUUUAUUUUGAUCCAUCACAAGAAUUCUGUAACAUAGGUGGGGCAUGUAUUUUUACCAAGCCCAUUUUCUAGGAAAUUCUUGCUUGGGGAAGAACACAAUGAAGCAUGGAUUGAAAAACAUGUUCUAAUUCUUAUUUGUAUUUUUCUUUUCCACUACCACAAUUCAUAUUUCUUUUUAAAUGUAAAUGAAAAAAACAUGGUUCAGUGUAUAGCAAUAUUUUGUGCUAUGUGGCAUCUUUUAAGAACAUUUGAGUGCAUUUACAUCAUUUCCUCAGGGAAAGCUUUGUUUUACCUAGAGAAGCAGGAAAUGGAUUUGAAAUGGGAAAAGUUUUUCAGUUUUAUGGAUUAAACCCAUCUGUUAUGUUCACUAAACCUCGAUCAUGGAAGAGAAUAGAUUUCUCAGAACAUAAAGAGAGGAGAGAGGAGUAAAAAGUGCUUCCUUCGUUCCCUGCUUCCUAUCUACACCUAUCCAGGGAGCCCUGUACAGACAAAAUGGGGUAGCCAGCCCAGCUGUCAGAAAGAAACAUGCCCCGACACAGUGAGCAGUCUUCCAAAGAGUUGAAGUUAACACUUAUUGCUUAAAAGAAUUCUGAGGUAUACUUUUUUCCCACUGCUUUCAGCAUCUUUUAGAAAUAUGUUUAAAUAUUUUGCUAAAUUAUCUACUAUAUCUGCAUAACACAAAGUAAAGGGAAAUUAUCUUUCAUUCAUUUAUUCAGAAUAAUGCUUACUGAAUAUGUACUACAUGCCAAUGUUGGGCACUAGAACUUUGGGAGUGAACCCAGUAGACAUGCCCCUUGGUAUAAUGGAAUUCACAAAGUGGGGGAGAAGGGUGUUAACCAAAUGAUCUCAUCAAUAAAUAUUUACUGAUCUUGACUGCAGAAGUCCUUUUAUAUAGACAGCAAGACUAGUAGCUGGUUAGGUGGUUGGGAAAUGCAGGCAGAAGGAGUGUGUGUGUAUAUGUAUACACAAACAUAACAGUUUUAUUUUUUACUUAGAAUGCAUAAACGAAUGUUUAUUUGCCGAAUUUGGUAGGGCUCAGGUGCUUUCUUUGAGGAUCAGUCUGAUAACUGAAGGUUAACAUCAUCUUUCUUGCAUAAAGCCCACUCAAAAUGUAUAUAAUCUAUAAUUUCCAGUUUCAAACACAUUAGAGGGAGAACUUAAAGACACUUGUGAAGUAAUUUGAAUUCAUUUAGAACUUAUUAUUUUUCCCCAAUCUUUUAUACUUAUCUUGCCUACAAUUUAAGAGCAAUUUUCCCCCAGUUUUUUCAAGUCUU
rnacentral:lncRNA from 1 species